rnacentral:autocatalytically_spliced_intron from 1 species
AUUUCAGUCUUGCUAAAAGAAGACUUGAACGAGAAAGCCAUAAGUAAUUCUCGAAUCCUCAGAGACUUUACGCUCGACACUAAUUAAUUCGCGAGAAUAGUUAUCAAAUAAUUAUUCUCCAAGCGAAGCAUUUUGUCGAAGACAAAUGCGAAGCAAUUAAUUCGCGAAGAUAAAGUCCGAACUUCAUAGCGAUAUGAAG